AAUAAACAUUCAUGAUUACAAUUAAAUAAAUCCAAAAUUUUGUGUGGGCCAGUAAAACAGAGUAAUUGCAUUAAUACACUAUAGGUACUAAUAUGUAUUCCAGUAUAGCUUGUGAAGUGGAUUAUUGUUAUUGUUUCUUAAUGCAUUUGGCACUCAGUCCUGAUGUUGAGAUAAAGUACAUAGGGGGUAAGGAUCCUGAGUUGCUGUUUUUGGGUGAAGAUGGUCAAAGUGUGGAGGAGCGUGUCAGUGUCAUUAACAUGUCUGAGGAUGAGAUUAAUGCACUCCUUGAGUCUAAAGGUAUUCUGAAGCACAACGCUACACCUGAAGGAGAGGCAGACAAUGGUGCUGAUGAACCUCAUCAAGAUUUAUAAACAAAUGCUUCAUAGUUUUGUAGACUAAUAGUUACUUAAUUCUAACCUCUCAUUUGUACAUGCAUAACUGAACUAAUUAACUCUGUCAGUUUACGGUUGUUGCCUAUAUAUGUAUAAUGACGUGACCAGCAUAAAGAAUGUUUCUGUUGGUUGCUGAUGUUUUAUUACAUGAUAAGGUAGCAGUGCAGGCUUUCGGUGUAAUCAGAUCAGAAAAUUUAAUAAAUUAA